rnacentral:rRNA from 1 species
UCGGUUGAUCCUGCCGGAGGUUACUGCUAUCGGAGUUCGAUUAAGCCAUGCGAGUCUAAAGGUUUCUUCGGAAACCUUGGCGGACUGCUCAGUAACACGUGGAUAACCUACCCUUGGGACUGGAAUAACCCCGGGAAACUGGGGAUAAUACCGGAUAGAUCAGGGAUGCUGGAAUGCACCUUGAUCCAAAGCUCCGGCGCCCAAGGAUGGGUCUGCGGCCUAUCAGGUAGUAGUGGGUGUAACGUACCUACUAGCCAACGACGGGUACGGGUUGUGAGAGCAAGAGCCCGGAGAUGGAUUCUGAGGCACGAAUCCAGGCCCUACGGGGUGCAGCAGGCGCGAAACCUUUACAAUGUGCGAAAGCAUGAUAAGGGAACUCCGAGUGCCAGCAUCUAAUGUUGGCUGUCCUUGUGCCUAAAACGCACAAGAUAGCAAGGGCCGGGUAAGACCGGUGCCAGCCGCCGCGGUAACACCGGCGGCCCGAGUGGUAGCCGCUAUUAUUGGGUCUAAAGGGUCCGUAGCCGGUUCGAUAAGUCCUCUGGGAAAUCUGGUUGCUUAACAAUCAGACUGCCAAGGGAUACUGUCGAACUUGAGACCGGGAGAGGUAAGAGGUACUUCAGGGGUAGGAGUGAAAUCUUGUAAUCCCUGGGGGANCAUCUGUGGCGAAGGCGUCUUACCAGAACGGGUCUGACGGUGAGGGACGAAAGCUGGGGGCGCAAACCGGAUUANAUACCCGGGUAGUCCCAGCCGUAAACGAUGCUCGCUAUGUGUCAGGNA